rnacentral:rRNA from 1 species
UACGGAGGGUGCGAGCGUUAAUCGGAAUUACUGGGCGUAAAGAGCUCGUAGGCGGCUUGUCGCGUCGGAUGUGAAAGCCCGGGGCUUAACUCCGGGUCUGCAUUCGAUACGGGCAGGCUAGAGUUCGGUAGGGGAGAUCGGAAUUCCUGGUGUAGCGGUGAAAUGCGCAGAUAUCAGGAGGAACACCAAUUGCGAAGGCAGCUCGCUGGGACGUUACUGACGCUGAGACGCGAAAGCGUGGGGAGCAAACAGG